rnacentral:rRNA from 1 species
GGGUUGUGAGGUUAAGCGACUAAGCGUACACGGUGGAUGCCCUGGCAGUCAGAGGCGAUGAAGGACGUGCUAAUCUGCGAAAAGCGACGGCGAGGUGAUAUGAACCUUUGACCCGUCGAUGUCCGAAUGGGGAAACCCAGUGUGAUUCGUCACACUAUCGUUAACUGAAUACAUAGGUUAACGAGGCGAACCGGGGGAACUGAAACAUCUAAGUACCCCGAGGAAAAGAAAUCAACCGAGAUUCCCCCAGUAGCGGCGAGCGAACGGGGAGCAGCCCGGAGUCUGAAUCAGCUUGUGUGUUAGUGGAAGCGUCUGGAAAGUCGCACGGUACAGGGUGACAGUCCCGUACACGAAAAUGCACAGGUUGUGAACUCGAAGAGUAGGGCGGGACACGUGGUAUCCUGUCUGAAUAUGGGGGGACCAUCCUCCAAGGCUAAAUACUCCUGACUGACCGAUAGUGAACCAGUACCGUGAGGGAAAGGCGAAAAGAACCCCGGCGAGGGGAGUGAAAAAGAACCUGAAACCGUGUACGUACAAGCAGUGGGAGCACCUUCGUGGUGUGACUGCGUACCUUUUGUAUAAUGGGUCAGCGACUUAUAUUCUGUAGCAAGGUUAACCGUAUAGGGGAGCCGCAGGGAAACCGAGUCUUAACUGGGCGUUAAGUUGCAGGGUAUAGACCCGAAACCCGGUGAUCUAGCCAUGGGCAGGUUGAAGGUUGGGUAACACUAACUGGAGGACCGAACCGACUAAUGUUGAAAAAUUAGCGGAUGACCUGUGGCUGGGGGUGAAAGGCCAAUCAAACCGGGAGAUAGCUGGUUCUCCCCGAAAGCUAUUUAGGUAGCGCCUCGUGAACUCAUCUUCGGGGGUAGAGCACUGUUUCGGCUAGGGGGCCAUCCCGGCUUACCAACCCGAUGCAAACUACGAAUACCGAAGAAUGUUAUCACGGGAGACACACGGCGGGUGCUAACGUCCGUCGUGAAGAGGGAAACAACCCAGACCGCCAGCUAAGGUCCCAAAGUCAUGGUUAAGUGGGAAACGAUGUGGGAAGGCACAGACAGCCAGGAUGUUGGCUUAGAAGCAGCCAUCAUUUAAAGAAAGCGUAAUAGCUCACUGGUCGAGUCGGCCUGCGCGGAAGAUGUAACGGGGCUAAACCAUGCACCGAAGCUGCGGCAGCGACACUAUGUGUUGUUGGGUAGGGGAGCGUUCUGUAAGCCGUUGAAGGUGUGCUGUGAGGCAUGCUGGAGGUAUCAGAAGUGCGAAUGCUGACAUAAGUAACGAUAAAGCGGGUGAAAAGCCCGCUCGCCGGAAGACCAAGGGUUCCUGUCCAACGUUAAUCGGGGCAGGGUGAGUCGACCCCUAAGGCGAGGCCGAAAGGCGUAGUCGAUGGGAAACAGGUUAAUAUUCCUGUACUUGGUGUUACUGCGAAGGGGGGACGGAGAAGGCUAUGUCAGCCGGGCGACGGUUGUCCCGGUUUAAGCGUGUAGGUGUGUGUUCCAGGCAAAUCCGGUUCACUUUAACACUGAGGCGUGAUGACGAGGCACUACGGUGCUGAAGUGAUAAAUGCCCUGCUUCCAGGAAAAGCCUCUAAGCAUCAGGUAACACGAAAUCGUACCCCAAACCGACACAGGUGGUCAGGUAGAGAAUACCAAGGCGCUUGAGAGAACUCGGGUGAAGGAACUAGGCAAAAUGGUGCCGUAACUUCGGGAGAAGGCACGCUGAUAUGUAGGUGAAGUCCCUGCGGACGGAGCUGAAAUCAGUCGAAGAUACCAGCUGGCUGCAACUGUUUAUUAAAAACACAGCACUGUGCAAACACGAAAGUGGACGUAUACGGUGUGACGCCUGCCCGGUGCCGGAAGGUUAAUUGAUGGGGUUAGCGGCAACGCGAAGCUCUUGAUCGAAGCCCCGGUAAACGGCGGCCGUAACUAUAACGGUCCUAAGGUAGCGAAAUUCCUUGUCGGGUAAGUUCCGACCUGCACGAAUGGCGUAAUGAUGGCCAGGCUGUCUCCACCCGAGACUCAGUGAAAUUGAACUCGCUGUGAAGAUGCAGUGUACCCGCGGCAAGACGGAAAGACCCCGUGAACCUUUACUAUAGCUUGACACUGAACACUGGUCCUUGCUGUGUAGGAUAGGUGGGAGGCUUUGAAGCGUGGACGCCAGUCUGCGUGGAGCCGUCCUUGAAAUACCACCCUUUAAUGGCUAGUGUUCUAACGUAGACCCGUGAUCCGGGUUGCGGACAGUGUCUGGUGGGUAGUUUGACUGGGGCGGUCUCCUCCCAAAGAGUAACGGAGGAGCACGAAGGUUAGCUAAUCCUGGUCGGACAUCAGGAGGUUAGUGCAAUGGCAUAAGCUAGCUUGACUGCGAGAGUGACGGCUCGAGCAGGUGCGAAAGCAGGUCAUAGUGAUCCGGUGGUUCUGAAUGGAAGGGCCAUCGCUCAACGGAUAAAAGGUACUCCGGGGAUAACAGGCUGAUACCGCCCAAGAGUUCAUAUCGACGGCGGUGUUUGGCACCUCGAUGUCGGCUCAUCACAUCCUGGGGCUGAAGUAGGUCCCAAGGGUAUGGCUGUUCGCCAUUUAAAGUGGUACGCGAGCUGGGUUUAGAACGUCGUGAGACAGUUCGGUCCCUAUCUGCCGUGGGCGCUGGAGAAUUGAGGGGGGCUGCUCCUAGUACGAGAGGACCGGAGUGGACGCAUCACUGGUGUUCGGGUUGUCAUGCCAAUGGCACUGCCCGGUAGCUAAAUGCGGAAGAGAUAAGUGCUGAAAGCAUCUAAGCACGAAACUUGCCCCGAGAUGAGUUCUCCCUGAGACUAUAAGUCUCCUGAAGGAACGUUGAAGACGACGACGUUGAUAGGCCGGGUGUGUAAGCGCAGCGAUGCGUUGAGCUAACCGGUACUAAUGAACCGUGAGGCUUAACCUUACAACGCCGAAGCUGUU